CGAACGGGUGAGGAAUACAUCGGAACGUGUCUUUAAGUGGGGGAUAACGCAUCGAAAGGUGUGCUAAUACCGCAUAAUCUCUGAGGAGAAAAGCAGGGGAUCGCAAGACCUUGCGCUUUUGGAGCGGCCGAUGCCUGAUUAGCUUGUUGGUAAGGUAAAAGCUUACCAAGGCUUCGAUCAGUAGCUGGUCUGAGAGGACGGCCAGCCACACUGGGACUGAGACACGGCCCAG
rnacentral:rRNA from 1 species